rnacentral:rRNA from 1 species
AUUGAACGCUGGCGGCAGGCCUAACACAUGCAAGUCGAGCGGCAGCGGGAAAGUAGCUUGCUACUUUUGCCGGCGAGCGGCGGACGGGUGAGUAAUGCCUGGGAAAUUGCCCAGUCGAGGGGGAUAACAGUUGGAAACGACUGCUAAUACCGCAUACGCGCUACGGGGGAAAGCAGGGGACCCUCGUGCCUUGCGCGCUUGGAUAUGCCCAGGUGGGAUUAGCUAGUUGGGGAGGUAAUGGCUCACCAAGGCGACGAUCCACUAGCUGGUCUGAGAGGAUGAUCAGCCACACUGGAACUGAGACACGGUCCAGACUCCUACGGGAGGCAGCAGUGGGGAAUAUUGCACAAUGGGGGAACCCUGAUGCAGCCAUGCCGCGUGUGUGAAGAAGGCCUUCGGGUUGUAAAGCACUUUCAGCGAGGAGGAAAGGUCAGUAGCUAAUAUCUGCUGACUGUGACGUUACUCGCAGAAGAAGCACCGGCUAACUCCGUGCCAGCAGCCGCAGUAAUAC